GAUGAACGCUAGCGGGAGGCCUAACACAUGCAAGCCGAGCGGUAGAGUCUCUUCGGAGCCUUGAGAGCGGCGCACGGGUGCGGAACACGUGUGCAACCUGCCUUUAUCUGGGGGAUAGCCUUUCGAAAGGAAGAUUAAUACCCCAUAAUAUACUGGAUGGCAUCAUCUGGUAUUGAAAACUCCGGUGGAUAGAGAUGGGCACGCGCAAGAUUAGAUAGUUGGUGAGGUAACGGCUCACCAAGUCAGCGAUCUUUAGGGGGCCUGAGAGGGUGAUCCCCCACACUGGUACUGAGACACGGACCAGACUCCUACGGGAGGCAGCAGUGAGGAAUAUUGGGCAAUGGGUGAGAGCCUGAUCCAGCCAUCCCGCGUGAAGGACGACGGCCCUAUGGGUUGUAAACUUCUUUUGUAUAGGGAUAAACCUAGAUACGUGUAUCUAGCUGAAGGUACUAUACGAAUAAGCACCGGCUAACUCCGUG
rnacentral:rRNA from 1 species